UAUAAAUAGCUAUUGUAAAAACCGUGGAUAAAAUUGAGCAGUGUAAUUUAUUUGUCUAUAGUUUGUACACCACAAUCUAAAAGUAUGAAUUUUUGAUUCGUGGUAUCUAGGCUCUAUAGUUGGAGUUUGAUUUUUAAUGAGACAAAAUAUUUGUUGACUAAUAGCUUUCAUAGUAUUCAUCAUCUCAUUUUUGAACACCUCAUUGAUUUGCCUUAAUUCACUUUUAAAUUCUUCCAAUCUCAUAUCAUAAAAGGUCUUAGUUUGAACUUGAUCAUGUAGAGAUUAUAUAGCUAAAGGUAUUGGAUUACUAAUUGGCAAGAAAAAGUAGAAGAUUGUUAGUAGCUUAAAGCUAGAGGUUGAUGGAAUUUUGUAGGUCGAUGUUGUAAGGGUAUAAAGGAGGAUAUUAGUUCUUUUGCCCUUCGAAGUAUACGAUCAUUUUUCUUAUCAAUAACCUCUACUUUUAA
rnacentral:lncRNA from 1 species